rnacentral:rRNA from 1 species
AAGCUUCAGUCUAUAGAUGACCGUACCGCAAACCGACACAGGUGGGCAGGAUGAGAAUUCUAAGGCGCUUGAGAGAACUCGGGUGAAGGAACUCGGCAAAUUAGCACCGUAACUUCGGGAGAAGGUGCGCCCUAGUAGAUUGUAAUGGUUUACCCAUGAAGGUCGAGAGGGUUGCAGUGAAAUGGUGGCUGCGACUGUUUAACAAAAACACAGCACUCUGCAAACACGAAAGUGGACGUAUAGGGUGUGACGCCUGCCCGGUGCCGGAAGGUUAAAUGAUGGGGUGCAAGCUCUUGAUUGAAGCCCCGGUAAACGGCGGCCGUAACAAUAACGGUCCUAAGGUAGCGAAAUUCCUUGUCGGGUAAGUUCCGUCCCGCACGAAUGGCGUAACGAUGGCCACACUGUCUCCACCCGAGACUCAGCGAAGUUGAAAUGUUUGUGAAGAUGCAAUCUACCCGCGGCUAGACGGAAAGACCCCGUGCACCUUUACUGUAGUUUUGCAUUGGACUGUGACAAGAUUUGUGUAGGAUAGGUGGGAGGCUAUGAAAUAGGGACGCUAGUUCUUAUGGAGCCGACGUUGAAAUACCACCCUAAUGUUGUUGCGGUUCUAACCUAGGCCCGUAAUCCGGGUUGGGGACAGUGCAUGAUAGGCAGUUUGACUGGGGCGGUCUCCUCCCAAAGCGUAACGGAGGAGCUCGAAGGUUACCUAGGUACGGUCGGACAUCGUACUGAUAGUGCAAUGGCAAAAGGUAGCUUGACUGCGAGACUGACAAGUCGAGCAGGUGCGAAAGCAGGACAUAGUGAUCCGGUGGUUCUGUAUGGAAGGGCCAUCGCUCAACGGACAAAAGGUACGCCGGGGAUAACAGGCUGAUACCGCCCAAGAGUUCACAUCGACGGCGGUGUUUGGCACCUCGAUGUCGGCUCAUCACAUCCUGGGGCUGUAGCCGGUCCCAAGGGUAUGGCUGUUCGCCAUUUAAAGUGGUACGUGAGCUGGGUUCAAAACGUCGUGAGACAGUUUGGUCCCUAUCUGCCGUGGGCGUUGGAGAUUUGACGGGGGCUGCUCCUAGUACGAGAGGACCGGAGUGGACGCACCUCUGGUGUACCGGUUGUCACGCCAGUGGCAUAGCCGGGUAGCUAAGUGCGGAAGAGAUAAGCGCUGAAAGCAUCUAAGCGCGAAACUUGCCUGAAGAUAAGAUCUCCCGGGGACUAGAUCCCCCUGAAGGGUCGUGGCAUACUACCACGUUGAUAGGCUGGGUGUGGAAGCGCAGUAAUGCGUGUAGCUAACCAGUACUAAUUGCCCGUGCGGCUUGAUUCU